GGGGGCAUAGCUCAGUUGGUAGAGCGGUUCGUUCGCAAUGAACAGGUCUGGGGUUCAAAUCCCCAUGCCUCCACCA
rnacentral:tRNA from 2 species